CUGGGCUUUCUGAAAGGUCAGUGCCACACGUGUUUUCUUUAUCAUCAUUUCGAGUGUGGAUCAGCCAGGCCUGUCCUGUGCUGGCCAUGGUGGCAUCAGUGACCUGUCUUGUUCGUGUCCUCUGGGGCCAGCAGCUCCCAUCUGGUUGGUUGUUUGCUUUUUGCAGGCUCCAUUGUCAUCCGUGUUUGCUUUCUGCUCAGUAGUGUUCAGCCACAGUAACAGAUGGUCCUUCCUUGGGACAGGGAUCUCACCCUGGUGUGGAUGGGGAUAGCAGGGGAGGCAGGCUCCUUUCUGUCCCCAGGAGAUGGGGAUCAGCAAAUGUAAACAGCUUCCCGAGGGAAGGACCGUGCUGCUGGGAGCGUGAGCGCAUCGCGUGUCUGGCAGGAAUGCUGAGGCUGGAAAGCGGAUAGUGCGGGGUUUGUGUGUUUGUGUAACUCAGUCUGGGUGCCAAAGUUCUCCGUUCACCAGGGCACAUUGACAGCGGUGGUUGCUGAGCAAAGCAGUGGCAGAGGUUUCUUUUCUGGCCCAGAGACCUCCACAGAAGACUGUGCUCUGAUCGGGUCCCUCCCAACCUGGGUUAUCCCAUGACCUGUUGCUCUGAAUGCAGCCUUCUAUGGGAAGAGGGAAGGAAAGAGCUUGAGAAUCAGCGGCUGCCUUUCCCCUUCCCUUCCUGAAGAAAAGCCAUGUAUGCCCAGAGCCGCUGCGAGCCCAGGCCCUGGGUCAGUGACCACGAACCAUCAGUCAAAGUGCUCCAAAAACUGGUGUAAAUUCAAGAACAAGAGCUGCAACUUUUGAGGGUACAAUUUGGAUCCUCUGUGCAUAGGUUUGCUGCUGUUUCUGACUUCUAGGCCUGUUCUGUUGCUAUUUGAGUCUCUCAUUACACUUGAUGUUAACUAUGAUGCUGUAUGUACUCUGCUGUCAUUCAAGCAUGAUGUAUAUGCACUCCGUACCGUAACGGCGCGUGGCUGUUACACUGUAAAUAUGUACCAUGAAUAGAGAGGCUAUUUUUUGCAUGCUUUUCUACUCUAGACCUGAACAGAAAAUGACAAUAAACUCCAUAGAAAUGAC
rnacentral:lncRNA from 1 species